GUUGCUAGCUUUGAAAAUACAUAUACUAAAAUUGGAAUGCUACAGAGAAGAUUAGCAUGACCCCUGCACAUGGAUGACAAAUUCAUAAAGCAUGAAGCAUUCCAUAUUUUU